GGGGCACGGGGGGACUCCUACGGGAGGCAGCAGUAGGGAAUUUUGUACAAUGGGGGAAACCCUGAUACAGCGACGCCGCGUGAGCGAAGAAGGCCUUCGGGUUGUAAAGCUCUGUCAGUGGAGAAGAAGACCCUUGACCUAAUACGUCGAGGGGAUGACGGUAUCCGCAAAGGAAGCCCCGGCUAACUACGUGCCAGCAGCCGCGGUAAU
rnacentral:rRNA from 1 species